rnacentral:rRNA from 1 species
AUUGAACGCUGGCGGCGUGCCUAACACAUGCAAGUCGAGCGGUAACAGGUGUAGCAAUACAUGCUGACGAGCGGCGGACGGGUGAGUAACGCUUGGGAAUCUGCCUGUUAGUGGGGGACAACCCGGGGAAACUCGGGCUAAUACCGCAUACGCACUACGGUGGAAAGCCGGGGACCGCAAGGCCUGGCGCUAACAGAUGAGCCCAAGUCGGAUUAGCUAGUUGUAGGUAACGCCUACCAAGGCGACGAUCCGUAACUGGUCUGAGAGGACGACCAGUCACACCGGAACUGAGACACGGUCCGGACUCCUACGGGAGGCAGCAGUGGGGAAUAUUGGACAAUGGGCGAAAGCCUGAUCCAGCGACGCCGCGUGGGUGAAGAAGGCCUGC